rnacentral:rRNA from 1 species
UACGGAGGGGGCAAGCGUUGUUCGGAAUUACUGGGCGUAAAGGGCGCGCAGGCGGCUGCUCAAGUCAGGCGUGAAAGGCCUGGGCUCAACCCGGGAAUUGCGCUUGAGACUGGGCUGGCUUGAGUGCGGGAGAGGAUGGUGGAAUUCCCAGUGUAGAGGUGAAAUUCGUAGAUAUUGGGAAGAACACCAGUGGCGAAGGCGGCGAUCUGGGAAGAUACUGACGCUGAGGUGCGAAAGCGUGGGGAGCAAACAGG